rnacentral:rRNA from 1 species
AGCGAACGCUGGCGGCAGGCCUAACACAUGCAAGUCGAACGAACCCUUCGGGGUUAGUGGCGGACGGGUGAGUAACACGUGGGAACGUGCCUUUAGGUUCGGAAUAACUCAGGGAAACUUGUGCUAAUACCGAAUGUGCCCUUCGGGGGAAAGAUUUCUCGCCUUUAGAGCGGCCCGCGUCUGAUUAGCUAGUUGGUGAGGUAAUGGCUCACCAAGGCUACGAUCAGUAGCUGGUCUGAGAGGAUGACCAGCCACAUUGGGACUGAGACACGGCCCAAACUCCUACGGGAGGCAGCAGUGGGGAAUCUUGCGGAAUGGGCGAAAGCCUGACGCAGCCAUGCCGCGUGGAUGAUGAAGGUCUUAGGAUUGUAAAAUCCUUUCACCGGUGAAGAUAAUGACUGUAGCCGGAGAAGAAGCCCCGGCUAACUUCGUGCCAGCAGCCGCCGUAAAAC